GGGCUCGUAGCUCAGUUUGGUAGAGCGAUUGGCUCUUAACCAAUAGGUCGCGGGUUCAAAUCCCGUCGAGCCCA
rnacentral:tRNA from 1 species